rnacentral:rRNA from 1 species
AGAGUUUGAUCCUGGCUCAGGAUGAACGCUGGCGGCGUGCUUAACACAUGCAAGUCGAACGAAGCGCAUAAGCGGAAUUCUUCGGGAGGAAGGUUAUGCGACUGAGUGGCGGACGGGUGAGUAACGCGUGGGCAACCUGCCUUACACAGGGGGAUAACAGUUAGAAAUGACUGCUAAUACCGCAUAAGACCACAGCUUCGCAUGAAGGAGUGGCAAAAACUGAGGUGGUGUAAGAUGGGCCCGCGUCUGAUUAGGUAGUUGGCAGGGUAACGGCCUACCAAGCCGACGAUCAGUAGCCGACCUGAGAGGGCGACCGGCCACAUUGGGACUGAGACACGGCCCAAACUCCUACGGGAGGCAGCAGUGGGGAAUAUUGCACAAUGGGGGAAACCCUGAUGCAGCGACGCCGCGUGAGUGAAGAAGUAUUUCGGUAUGUAAAGCUCCAUCAGCAGGGAAGAAAAUGACGGUACCUGACUAAGAAGCACCGGCUAAAUACGUGCCAGCAGCCGCGGUAAUACGUAUGGUGCAAGCGUUAUCCGGAUUUACUGGGUGUAAAGGGAGCGUAGACGGUCUGGCAAGUCUGAUGUGAAAAUCCGGGGCUCAACCCCGGAACUGCAUUGGAAACUGUUAGACUAGAGUGUCGGAGAGGUAAGUGGAAUUCCUAGUGUAGCGGUGAAAUGCGUAGAUAUUAGGAGGAACACCAGUGGCGAAGGCUGCUUACUGGACGAUGACUGACGUUGAGGCUCGAAAGCGUGGGGAGCAAACAGGAUUAGAUACCCUGGUAGUCCACGCCGUAAACG